rnacentral:rRNA from 1 species
AUUGAACGCUGGCGGCAGGCUUAACACAUGCAAGUCGAGCGGGGGAGGUUACUUCGGUAACUGACCUAGCGGCGGACGGGUGAGUAAUGCUUAGGAAUCUGCCUAUUAGUGGGGGACAACAUUCCGAAAGGAAUGCUAAUACCGCAUACGCCCUACGGGGGAAAGCGGGGGAUCUUCGGACCUUGCGCUAAUAGAUGAGCCUAAGUCGGAUUAGCUAGUUGGUGGGGUAAAGGCCUACCAAGGCGACGAUCUGUAGCGGGUCUGAGAGGAUGAUCCGCCACACUGGGACUGAGACACGGCCCAGACUCCUACGGGAGGCAGCAGUGGGGAAUAUUGGACAAUGGGCGGAAGCCUGAUCCAGCCAUGCCGCGUGUGUGAAGAAGGCCUUUUGGUUGUAAAGCACUUUAAGCGAGGAGGAGGCUACUGGUAUUAAUACUACCGGAUAGUGGACGUUACUCGCAGAAUAAGCACCGGCUAACUCUGUGCCAGCAGCCGCCGUAACAC